UACGAAGGGGGCUAGCGUCGCUCGGAAUCACUGGGCGUAAAGCGCACGUAGGCGGCUUUUUAAGUCAGGGGUGAAAUCCUGGAGCUCAACUCCAGAACUGCCUUUGAUACUGAGAAGCUUGAGUCCGGGAGAGGUGAGUGGAACUGCGAGUGUAGAGGUGAAAUUCGUAGAUAUUCGCAAGAACACCAGUGGCGAAGGCGGCUCACUGGCCCGGUACUGACGCUGAGGUGCGAAAGCGUGGGGAGCAAACAGG
rnacentral:rRNA from 1 species